GGAGAAGUAGUUUAUGAAAAUUUAGGCUUUGGGAGCUUAAGAUGCCAAGAUAGCUUGGCCUUCUUCA
rnacentral:tRNA from 1 species